rfam:Verticillium dahliae VdLs.17 supercont1.24 genomic scaffold, whole genome shotgun sequence.
GCGUCAAUGGUGUAAUGGUUAGCAUUAUUGCCUUCCAAGCAAUAGAUUUCGGUUCAAUUCCGGGUUGUCGCA